AGAAGGUUACGCCCUUGUGGUAUAAAAACUUUUAACGAAACCCUAAUUUGUUUAUUGUUUCCGCCGCAUCCCUUCCACUUCCUCGCUCUUCUCCAUUUUCUUCUCCAUCCGCUGUGUCUUUCUAAUGUCGCAGGUGAUAAUACAUAUAGAAUCGAAAUAUGAUCAUAGAGGUUUCAAUCUUCUUAUCUUGUCGUGGAAAAUCUUUUGUCUUUUUUUUUUUUUUUUGAUUUUCAUAGUAAUCAUCAUGGACUUCGAUCCGCUUCUUAUUAGCUGAAGCGUCAACAUAAUUAUGAAAAUGAAAUUGGGGUUUGCUCAGAGUUUACCAGUUCGAAUCAAUUCCAGAUUGCAUAGGAGGAGUUCUUUGUUGCUGGGAUUCGGAGGAUAAGAAUAAUGAUAAUAAUGAUGCUAUUGGGAUGAUAAUAAUGAUGGUGGUGUCCUUUGUACACUCAUGGGAACUGGCUUCAAAGGUUGGAAUGAACAAAAAACUUGAAUUUAUAGUGCUGUUGCAGCUAACAACCCAGUGUUAGGAAACACGUCGUCUGAUAAACACCCUCUCAAUGCUUCCCUCUAUUGUUAUUAGUCUAUUGACUUUUGUAGUUGUAUUGUCAUCCUAAUUAAUUUAACAAUCCACUAUUGCUGCUGCAGAAGAAAUUUUGUACAACCAACGCAUAUUAAAAAGCAAGUCGUAGAAACACAUGGAGUACGUGGUGGUUUCUGAUGCAACAUUUUCGACUCCUAACCGGAUUGGAUUAGUGUUUUUACAUCUAAUGUUUGCUGCUUUGGAAGCAUCUAUGAUUAGACGUGCCAAUACUAACCCAAUAUCAGUUGGAAAACUAAAGACGACACUACCAGUUAUCUGUAUGCUAGGGGAUGGCUUAACGAACCCAUGGAGGUUACAAUUUUGGAGAAGAAUGCGUGUGGUCUUCUUACAAGAACAUAGCGGAAGAUGACGACAAAGAUGGGGAUGCAGAUGAAUAGUGCGAUGAAGUUGACAAAACCAAUAGGGAUGCAAGUAAAAUGGCAGAGAAUAGAGCUUACUAUCGAAUGGAGGGAAAUGUUUACUUUUGAACACACUAUUAUGAAAACAAUUUGUCUUAUUUCGACAGUUUAAUGAAUGUAAGAGAAAGAUUGUCCACUUAUUGGUGAAAUAAAUUUCUGAUGGAUUGGAGAGAAGAGAACUAAUCUGUGUACAGAAUUUUUUCAGCAAAAAAAAGGUAGCAUGAGAAGGUUACUCUCCCAACUGUGGUGCAAGGGAUUUGAAGAAAGCGAUGUUGUGGCUUCUGGAGGAUAAUUAACCUGGCAGAUAAUGUGCUCAGUUUAUUACCGGAGAAAAGUGGAGUAAUUACGAUAUAAAAAACUUCGGCUAUAUUAUUGCCUUCCAAAAAUGACUUGGAAGUUCUAAUGAGGUGGACCACGAAAAUUCAGUAAAUUCUGUCAAAAACCGAUGGAGAACACAUUGCAGUAUCCAUAAAAAUGAAAAUUUGAAGUAAAGUUUACAACAGCAACAACCACUUCAGUUGUUUUCCAUGAACAUUCCUUUGAAUCAGAUGUUAAGAUUUUUGGUAUCUUACUUUGUACAUUUCCAAUUUUUCACAAGUAUUUGAAUCAGU